UCUUUAUGGAGAGUGGCGGAGGGACAGGCCCGAUGAUGCCACAGCAACCGGCUCGCGAUGUGCGAAUGUCAGGUGCUAAUUCCUGCCCCCGCGGGUUUGGGGGGAAAGAUGAGGA
rnacentral:ncRNA from 2 species